rnacentral:rRNA from 1 species
AGCGUUGAGACAGGUGGUGCAUGGUUGUCGUCAGCUCGUGUCGUGAGAUGUUGGGUUAAGUCCCGCAACGAGCGCAACCCUUGCUAUUAGUUGCUAACAGGUUAAGCUGAGCACUCUAAUGGGACUGCCGGUGACAAGCCGGAGGAAGGUGGGGACGACGUCAAAUCAUCAUGCCCUUUAUGACCUGGGCUACACACGUGCACAAUGGAUGGUACAGAGAGCAGCGAGGCAGCGAUGUGGAGCGAAUCUCAAAAAGCCAUUCUCAGUUCGGAUUGGAGUCUGCAACUCGACUACGUGAAGUCGGAAUCGCUAGUAAUCGCAGAUCAGCAUGCUGCGGUGAAUACGUUCCCGGGUCUU